rnacentral:sRNA from 1 species
UAUCUUAAGUAUAAAAGUGGUGUAGUAUCCUAGUCAGGUAACUACCUCUGAGGGCGGGGCUAAAAAUCCGUUGAAGGGCACAUCGAUGAAGUUUCUGGUGCUGGCUUAAGACGCCCAGUCUUGGGCUUGUGCUGGGAGUAAAGGAGUUGGGGCAGCCGCAAUGGCAUGCGCAACUGACCCUACCUCCGUGGAGACCAUAACUUGUGGAUAGGGCUAGAUACCCUUUCUACGACUAUGGAUUAAACCUGCAUUGUGGUGAAUAGCUAUGUGCAGUGUAGCCUGCCUUGAGUGAGAUAGGUAGAGGUGAAUUUCACUUAAACCUAUUUUGCAAAAGAGGCUAAAGAGAUAGCCAACUGCUGAGGAAAUCUCCUAGGCUAUUCUAAUGAGAUAUGCUAGGGAUUGUAGUAUGAUCUAAGUGGUAAUCUAGUACUAUAAUUGGCGACAUUAUAGAAAAUACAUUAAAGGGAAACCGUCUUAUUGGCGACAAUUAGAUUGUAUUUUGGGAAAGCAUACUGGACCUAAGUCAUAAGUUUUACCUAGUGUAUUACCACUUUUUUAUAACAAGUU